rnacentral:pre_miRNA from 1 species
AGUGGGAUAGCUGUAUCAUAUAGUAAUUCCAUUUCUAGUUUUUGAGGAAUCAACAUACUGUUUUCUAGAGUGGCUAUACUAAUUUUCAGUCAUACAAGCAAU